rnacentral:rRNA from 1 species
GAUGAACGCUGGCGGCGUGCCUAAUACAUGCAAGUCGAGCGAACAGACGAGGAGCUUGCUCCUUUGACGUUAGCGGCGGACGGGUGAGUAACACGUGGGUAACCUACCUAUAAGACUGGGAUAACUUCGGGAAACCGGAGCUAAUACCGGAUAAUAUUUCGAACCGCAUGGUUCGAUAGUUAAAGAUGGCUUUGCUAUCACUUAUAGAUGGACCUGCGCCGUAUUAGCUAGUUGGUAAGGUAACGGCUUACCAAGGCAACGAUACGUAGCCGACCUGAGAGGGUGAUCGGCCACACUGGAACUGAGACACGGUCCAGACUCCUACGGGAGGCAGCAGUAGGGAAUCUUCCGCAAUGGGCGAAAGCCUGACGGAGCAACGCCGCGUGAGUGAUGAAGGUCUUCGGAUCGUAAAACUCUGUUAUUAGGGAAGAAUAAACGUGUAAGUAACUGUGCACGUCUUGACGGUACCUAAUCAGAAAGCCACGGCUAACUACGUG